UCCUACAGAAAAUCAAGUGCAACGAGGUAGC
rnacentral:piRNA from 1 species